GGAAACUGGCAAAGGUUGACGGGAAAGAUGCCCGAGCAGGGAUGACAUUGGAACGACAAUGUAGGGCUC